rnacentral:sRNA from 1 species
AUAUGUCCUGCAUGCCUUUUCCAGAGAGUCACUUCUGAUAGAACCAUGCUACUUUGACAAUUGUCAUAGAAGUUUUCCAGAACUGGGAGGCAUUUACUUUUUUACUUAUAAAUCAAUGGCACACCAAAAAAGACCUGGAUGGAUUUCGGAAGCUAUUUCAUAGAUUUUUGCAAGAAAAGGGGCCUUCUGUGGAUUGGGGAAAAAUCCAGAGACCCCCUGAAGAUUCAAUUCAACCCUAUGAAAAGAUAAAGGCCAGGGGCUUGCCUGAUAAUAUAUCUUCUGUGUUGAACAAACUAGUGGUGGUGAAACUCAAUGGUGGUUUGGGAACCAGCAUGGGCUGCAAAGGCCCUAAAAGUCUGAUUGGUGUGAGGAAUGAGAAUACCUUUCUGGAUCUGACUGUUCAGCAAAUUGAACAUUUGAAUAAAACCUACAAUACAGAUGUUCCUCUUGUUUUAAUGAACUCUUUUAACAC